GCCCCGCGGAGGAAGAGGUGCGCCGCGCACAGACCGCAAGGCGGGCCGGGCCGGCAGGCGCCCUGCUGCGUCUCUGGUGGUCGGGAGACGGAGAAGGACGGAUGUCGCGGGCGAGGGAGUUCCCAGGAUACCCCCUCGGGUAUCUGCGCCGGAACUCCGAGGAUUCCCCGGAGUUAGACCGAGUCCUUCCUCACCCCCUCCCGGCUCUACGUAUGCUCAGCAAGUGCCGCGUGCCUCCCAUCCUUGGUCGGUGGUAAAUGCAGGAGGUAAUUAACAGGAUCUUAACAAACUUGGAGCCAGCCCACUGAGUCGUUAAAAAAACACCCGCAAAGAAAACACACGAGCGCUAACACUCCAGAGUUCCGAAACACAAAGUAAAUUUUGAGCUAAGGGUUACAGUCCUUGAAAUCUGGAAAUUUCAAGUAUCCCUCGGGAUAGUGUCCCUGGGAGGCGGAUAGGAUUCAGCACUCUAGAAUUGUCUCACCAUUUGAAUAGGUGCUGCUCAGUCGUUUGGAGUCUGUUGUCGGAAAGACCAUGGCUUUCUAGCUUUUCAUCUUUUUGGAUGGCUGCUUGUCGCAAUAUUGUCUUCUUCGCUUUAGACAACCCUGUGGUGCUUACUCUUCCUGUGAUGAAGGCAAGUGUGUUCCUGGAGAGGUUACUGAAUCUGGAGCUGCUUUUAGGGAGUUGCAGAUGGCACAGGCCUCCCUUCCUCCUCAAGGAAGCCGAAGACACCAUCACAAUCAGGCAGCCAGGAGCCAGGGCUUCCAUAGGCCCAGCUCUGUACCUGUAGGGGGAUGGAAUCUGGUAAAAGUGUUCCGGAGUCGUUCUUGGAUAUCUGCUUGGUAUCUUCUCAAUAUCUUGACCAUCUGUGACAAUUUUAAUCCUCAUUUGAUCAUAUUUUAUGCAGUGUUCACAGCUUCUUCACUGGGAGUAGAUUCCAUCUCAAAACACUUUCUUUGCUCAUCAAAAGAAACAGCUCUUUAUCUGUUCAAGUUUUACAAGGAAAUACCACAAUUCAGUCACAUCUUAAAGCUUCAGUUCUAAUUCUAGUUAUUUUGCUGUUUAUGCCAUGCCUGCAGUUACUUUACCUUACAUGAAUUAUGGUAUAUGUGUGUAAUAUAUGUGGGUCAGUGUUUGUGUAUAUAUGCAUCUUUUUUUGUAUAUGUAUGUUUUAUCCCUUCUUCUAGAUUCUAGUUCUUCAUCUUCCAGUGUAAUUCCUUGUACAAAGUAGGUCCUUACCAUUCACUGGAUGAAUGAAUAUCCAAGUUAUGGUGUAUUUAGUGAGCUGGGAUUGGAACAAUACAGUUGAUCAAAUGCAUUACUGAGUAUGUGCCCCAUCUAAGUUUGCAGCUUUAGAUUGUGGUCAGAGGCUGUUACAAGAUCUUAUAUAUUCUAUGAUGGGUCAUAUGCAUCUAAAGCAUGGUGGUUCAGUUUAUGAAUAUAUAAAAGGACAAUUUUUUGAUUAAUGUCAGCUUUGAGUUUAGAAUGUAUCCCAGACAUCUUAGUUGCCCUUAAUUAUUUUUGGAGAUAUUUUUCUCAGCCAUUAAUAAAGCAAUCUGAAUGAUGCA
rnacentral:sRNA from 1 species